CGACAGGCCCCGGUCCCGGAGGAGAGGCGGGCACGAGCGGAGGGAAAGUUGCGGAGGGCUGGGGGUGCCGGGGCCGCGGCCUCCCGGGAGCCGGGGCCUGGGGGCCGGGAGAAAGCGCCAGACCUUUUGCCUGGUCGCCCGAGCGCAGGGGAGGAGGGUGUCUUCCUCCUCCUCCUCUUCCUCCUCAUCCUCUUCCCCCAGCUCCUCCCUCGUCCCUCCUCUCGGUCCCCACCAGUGUGGGAACAGCGGCCACGGUCCUCCGCAAGGACAAUGCCACGGGUUACAGGGGAGACGGGCUGCCCCCGGCCGCCGGGCGAGGCGCAGGGGAAGGUCGGGGAGCCGGGUCCCCCCCGCGCGGCUCUCCGGGCUGCGUGCUCGCGGAGCCCGGGCCCUCGGCCUGCUCGGAAGUUGUGCGCGUGAGAGCCCGGCCGCUCGACGUCGGAGGGCUGGUGACCCGCUUAGCACAGCCCUCGGAGGGUGCCAGAGGGCCGCGGAUGCGUAAAUUAAUAAUCGAGACCUGGGUGUAGGCAACAAAACUCGUUGGAGUCUUAUUCAUAGACUUAGAUCCGCCGGGGCUGGCUGAAGAAGCUUCACGCUGGGCGGAAAGGCCUCCCCCCGGCCCCCUUCCCUGGUCUGAAAUAGUUAAAAAUGGGGCAGAAUUAGUGAGUGAUUCCGACGACUUAGGCUGAGUCUGUCGUCCAAAACCCCUGGAUGAUGUGAAUCUUGGUAAUCUAGGUGCAGUACUUGAGCGCCAGCGCCAUUUGUUAGUUGAAUUCGGCCCAGGUUGUCAGGAAAUACACCCUUUAUAACAUUGUUUUCGCUCUCGAGUUAAAAGAUUAGGACCGUGUAUUAAUAACUCUCUUAACCUCCAGGUAGAAACUGUUACCCAUUUCACAGAUGAGGAGACUGAGCGGUGACUCGUCCAAGGUCACACAGCUGGGACUCCUGAAGCCGGGAGUCCAGCCAGCCGGGGCUCUUAAUCUCGAACUUACAACUCGUUAUUAGAAGUACUGGCACAUUUUGGAGUUAUUUGGUUGUAAUGAUUUAGGGUUGUAUCCACCUAUAGUGUUGGCGUGGAAUUAACUUUUGUGGUUUGCAGAAGCAGAAAGGAGAGAAUGAAGCGAGGCCCUCUUAAUGAAACUAAUUUGUUAGCUUCCCCCCACCCCCCAACUCUGAAGAAAACUGUGUAGACACUUUUUGAAUGGAAGGAAUUAAAAAGUAGUCUGUUCUGCUGUUUGGUUCCUCACACUUAAUUAUAGUCAUCACUUAAGUAUUGAUGAGUCAUAAGCAAGUUUUGUGCAAAGUUAUUUUUGGUUAUUUUUUAUCUUUGGAUACUUAGAUUUUCCCUGGGAGUCCUUACACAUUACAUAUACUAAGUAUUUAAUAAUGGAUAUACUAAUACUUUGAUUUGGGGGGCUUUUAAAUAAUUCAGUGGAGUUACCUUUAGCUUUGUAAAUUUCCCACAUCUUGAUUAGUUACUUUAAGGAUAAUUUUUUUUUCUGAUAUAAAUAUGAGACUAGAACUAAAAUUUCAUGUGGUAAGAUUUUAAACUGAAGAAGAUAGUUUAAAGGAAACAGUUAUAAAAAAAGUUUACUCAAGUUGUGUUAAGAUUUUUAAUAGACGUUGGACUUACACUUAAAGUACCCCAUUGGUUUUGGAGGAUUUGCUUAUGGUGGCUGUCCAAAUUCAUUUAGACUUCAAACCUUGCCAAAAUGUUAAGGAGUUCUGUCGGUGUCUACACCAAAUUGUAAAACUGAGUACAGAAACUUCUAAGAGGCAUAAGCUCAGAAAUUAAGUCUCCUAGAAAGAAGAAUCUCUUCUCUUUCUGGUGGAGGCUUUGCUUUGAAAUCUAAAAAAGAUUAAGGGUUUGAGUAGAAUUGAGUGAAGUGAAUGGUCAUUAUUGGUAGGGGUGGGAGAUAGACUGUGAAAUCUAGUGAGAUCUUUGUUUUUGUUCAGAAUAUGGAAUUUAGGUUUAAAUUUAGGAUCUUAAAUUUCUUUUAAAGAUGUUUUGGUGGGACUUACUGGAAAUGUCACACACAUACAUAACUGUGUCCUAGGGAUUCAGACAUUUAGUCCAGCCUUUUAAGGUCGCCAACAUUCAAAAUAAAUGAAAAUAUUCCAUUGUAAUGCAGUGUCUUGUUUGGGAAUGUAGAUUAAAAAAAAAAAGGCAAACACAACCUUGGAUUAGAAUUUUUUCCCCCACUAAAAUAUUGUCUGAUGUCUGCCCCUGAGUUUUAUUUAUGGGGAGUUUUUGUGUUUAUGGUUUAGAGAUGUGGGAGUGGGGAGUGGUAAGUGCAGCAGCUGGUAUUUAAAGAAUUUACAUAGGUUUUUAUAGCCCCACGAUUAUCUGUAAAAGCUAAAUUGAAGAUAACUUGUUAUAAUGCAUGACUGGUGUGACCUUUGGCAUACAUUUUGUUUUGAAACUAUACAAAGAAAGGAGAUGCUGAUUUAUAUGGAAUCUUGGGUACUACCUGAAAACAAAAACAAGCAAAAGAAAUAGCUUAGAAGUUUGGGAUACUCAGGGAUGUUUUCACGUGUGUGUUUAUGGUUGGCAGCUAUACAGUCAUGGGGAGAAAAUUUGAAUGGAAAUAACUUUAUUGUGAGUGAGAAGAGAAUUGCCUUAUGCAUGCUGUUAAAAACUAGCUAAACAGAAGAGGGACUUCAUUCGUAACUUUCUUCUUUGUCAUAAGGUGUGUGUCAAAUUUUCUUUGCUUUAGCAUUUGCUUUCUCUUGUUUCAAAGAACUUUCACAAUUCUUACACCCACACCCCCACACCCAAGCAGUUUCUCUUUUCAUCCGCCUGAGAAAAGACUUUAAACAUGUGAACUCAACAGAACCCCCAAACUUCCAGAGUGUUUAUGAAGAGAUUGACUCUUCUCUCCCCAAAAUUCUACUAGUCUUAGAAUUUUGUUGUAUUCCUAUCAGUAAUUUAAACUGUGAGCUAAGAAUCGCUAGUUCUGUUGAGUUUUUUGGUGGUUUUACCUCCAGAUACUUGUGUGUAUUUUCUCUUUAGAAGUAAAGAUACUUCUUGAAACUAUCAAACAUGGGCCCCUGAAACUUGACACUAACACACUAACAUUGCCCAAAGUGAAACUUGUGACUUGAUUACUUUUGUAUGAGCACCUUACAUAUACUCAGUGGUUAGGCUUUUUAAAAGACUUCUUACUAUGUAUUAUUUUGGCCACUGGGCAAUGUUUUGAUGGUUAGAGAAAUUAUGAUAAUUCAUAACCCAAAGCUGGCACAGUUUUGGAAUAAAAUUUUGGGGAGGGGAGGUUAUAAUUUGUGUUUUAAUUACUUGGGAAAAUAAUACAAUUACUUUAAAUUACCUAAAGUUUUUCCCCAGUUGCUCCUAAAUAAAGAAAUCAUUCAAAAUCUUGCCUUAUAUCAGUGUUAUAAUGUAAAGCUAGAGCUGUAAAGUUUACCAUUGGUUAUGUGAAUGUGAAAUGUUGACUUCACAUGACUAAAGUCAUUAAUUUAAGGUUCUUAUUAGAUAAUUACAGACAGGUCUCAUCUUCUAACCUAGUGGCUGCUGGUCUUAGUUUCAUUUUUUGGUAUAUGAAAACAAAAUGACUUGGAAACACAGCAUUGUAUAAACCAGCCAGACGUUUGAAAUAAGUUAUGCUUUUACUUUGAAAACCUUCUUCCAGAGUUGCAUAGUGAGAUAGAAUUCCUCAUUGGAGAUAACUUAUAGUACACUGAACAUGUAAAAUAAUGUGGUUCCUUGUAGGCAUACAUUUUGCUGAUAUAGAACCAUUUAGGCUACUUAGCAAUUGAUUUUUCUCCCAGAGCUAUGCACCCUCUCUUCUAGAAGGUGAAUUUUUAAAGUUUGUAAUACUGUGAAAGUUUUGCUUGUUUUAAUUUUUUACUGUUUGAUGGACAUGUGCCCAUAUCUGAUAUGUGAUGCAUAACAGUUUAAAAUGUAUCUAUACUCUUGAUGAGUUAUUUUUCAUUUUAUUGCCCUAUAAUUUAAUUGUUUAAGUUGCUUUUGCAGAGAGGUGCUUAGUGAAAUGGUUUAACAUGGAAUGAAACUGGUGUUAGCAUCAAUUCUAUUUUAAAUAACAUCCCUGUUCAUUAAAUAGUUCUCUUUGUUUCUCUCUAUAAAAUUUUUACCGACAAGAGUUGAUUUUUUGUUUGGUUUUGUUUUCUGGAUAUUUGUGGUUAAGGUUGGCAUUUUAGCACAUACAUUUGGGUAAGGAGAUGCUCAAACGUGAGAUCUACUCCAGAUCUGCUUAUUACAGAGGUAGAGAGCGGCUGAGGAAGCAUGGUAACUGGAGAGUGUGUUGGCCAGUGAGGCGGUACCAGGCAGAGCCACCAGAGUCAGGCAGGUCUGGAACCUGAACCAGUCCCGCCCCUCACGGGCAGUGUGGACCUAAGGCACAGUGGUUUUGCUUCAUAUCAAUUUCUUUAUCUGUAAGAUGGGUUGAUGAUCCUUACCAUGGGGUGCUUGUGAAGACUGAGAUAACAGACAUACAUUUCUUAAUUGUCUUCUCCCUUUCUCUUCAGUGAUAGCCAUCCUUACGGUCUCAACAUAAAUGCUACUUUCCCCAACCUUGGUUUUAAGUAUGAUUCCUUGGCCGUGUGUUCUUACCAAUGGCUUUUUUUUUUGACAGCGCUGAGUAAAAAUAACCAUAGGUAUGCAUAUGUAUGGCUUCUGUGGUAGCUCAGUUGCUAAAGAAUCUGCCUGCAAUGCAGGAGACCCAGGUUUGAUCCCUGGGUUGCGAAGAUCCUCUGGAGGAAGGCAUGGCAACCCGCUGCAGAAUCCUUGCCUGGAGAAUUCCAUGGACAGAGGAGCCUGGGGGGCUACAAUCCAUGGUGUCGCAAAGAGGCGGACACGACUGAGCGACUGAGCACUGCGCAGGGUGCAUAUGUACAUGUAUUCUUUUACUGUCUGUCUCUGCCUCGUGCCGUUAAACUGUGAGGUCUGUCUGGGCAGGAGUAUCCGUACCUCCAGGGCCUGUAGCGCCCGUGCUGGGCACAGAGCAGGAGUGGACGGAUAUGCGUGUGCACAGAGGGAUGGUGAGGAACCUGUGUGCUGAAGCCCAAGCCUGAGCGCCGCUCGUUGCUUGCGCAGUCGUGGGCAGAGUAGCUUCAGAGCUUUAGAAUCCUGUAUGCCGACCGUGCGUAAGCCCUAGCUGCCCUUGCCAGGAUUUGAAAAAUGUGAAAUGAGAUCUCUAAUGAGAUGCUUUGCAAAAGUGUAAAAUGCCGUAUAAAUGUAAGUUGGUACAGUAGCAAUAAUUUCAGUAGUGAGGCUACCCAAGAAUUUAUAAUUAGAGUUUCAACUUUACUGAGUUGGUAAGUAGCUAUUAUGUAAUAUUUAUUAGUAACUUAAACUUUCUGUAUGCAUUAGUUAGAACACAAGAUUGGGCCCAUGUUUUGACUACAGUGGCUUACAAGCUGAAUCUCUUUCUCUCUCAUGUAAGUCGUCUAAGGCUGAUGUGGCAGCUCCAGGAUACAGGGGACCUUGGGUCCUUCUGACUUGUUGCUUUCCUGUGUAUAACGGGAUCCCAUGGCCCCCACAGUUCAAGACAGCUUGCCACCUCAUUCACGGUCCAGGAACAGGAUGGGGGAGAGAACAACCCUUCUUUAAAGACGAACCUGGAAAUUGCAUACGUGACUUGUUCACACCUGUUGGUCGGAACUUCGUCAGGUGGCCCCAUGUAGCUGCAAAGGAGGCUGGGAUAUAUGGUCAUCAGUAGGGUGGCUGAUCGUCUGCCUGAAAAAUCUGUUUUUACUGAUGAAUAGGAGAAUGGGGGAUUAUGAAGCAUUGCCUGUCACUCUUUCAGAUGUUUUGGAAGAAACUUAACAGAGAUGAACUUUGGAAAGACAACUUAUUGCACUAAUUAAUGUUUAUAUUCCGUAUUUGCUCACUAAUCAUUUGGACUAUGGUGUGUAAAUUGAAAUAGAUUGUCAGUACUUAGUAUAUGCAGUAUAUACAUAUGUAGUCAGAUUAGAGUUAAUGUAACUAAACUUAUAAUAGUGAUGGAAUUUGGAGUCUCAUAUUACAUUAUUUUAUUGAAGGUAUUUUCUGAUAGAAACAUAAUUCUCGAUUGCUGUAACUGUUAUACGUAAACAGUAUUUGAAGCCUAGGCCUUUGGGUUUCGUUUUAGCAGUCCCGUGGACCAUUUUGUGUGUAUUUGUGUACAUAACCUCAGCAAGCAAUACUAGGAGAGUCUGAUUCAGUAUUGCAGGAUCUUGUCAGGUUUUCAGUAAGUGUUUGGGUCACUGAAGUUGUAACGAUCAUAGCAGUGAUAUUUAAACAUUUACUGUCCAAUGUCUUGCUCUUUUUUUCCUGUGGGUUUGACAGAAGACGAAGGUCUAGGAUUCCUUUGAACUAGCCUAUAAUUAGGUCAAGUAGAGACCUGAGGAACUAAUGAGCCUCAGAUAGUUUUCAGGAGAACUUGUCAGAGUUGUGGGACUCCCCCGCCCCAGACUUGCCUUUCUGAAGGUUUGAGUGAUGCACUGGACUCCACUGUCUUGAUUGGGACUGCAAGUAUCCCUGAUGCAGUAGAAACAUUUUGAGAAACAUUGACAUAGUUCAUUUCUCAUCUUAGAGGAGGAAAUGGAUGCAAAGAAAUGAAAUGACUAACCAGUGCCUCGGAGUAAGCAGGUCGGGGGUGGGGGCUAGCGCAUGUUUUCCCGACUCUUGGGUCGUUGUUCUUUCCCCAGAAGAGAGGAAGGAGAAGAGCACAACUGCAUUUGUUAUUUUAUAGGAAGAUCUGUCAUUCCAAUGUGUUGCUAUUUAUGUGUGAGCUCAUUGCUAUUGAAUGGUUGGCUCACUUCACUGUCUUCUGAGCCUCUUAGAAAAAUACUGUGAGUUGGUCCAAUAAAUAUUUAAAGGUGGAAAGUUGAGGUUUUAAGUCACGUAUCAUUAGUGUUGGUGCGUUAGGGUAGAUGAAAGGGAGGUGUGGGUUUGGCAUGUUCAGAAGGAGCAAAGGCAGGCCAUGUCCUAAGAUCAUUCGUUUCCUUUUCAGCUGAUUCGCUUGCCAGUCUCACUGUGGAAUUCAUACUGUAGAUUAAGGCAAGAGCUGGAUCCCCUAAUUUAAAAUGGAAAUAUUCCUAGGGAAAUAGCCUUCAUCUGUUAGCAGGUUAACACUUCAUCAAUUAGCUGUUGUCAUUUUAAACGUUGGAGAUGAGCACCCACACUAAUAAAAGAGCUUUUGGGAAGAGGAGGGAGGGUUAGGGCACAGUGCCCUUGUCCAAGGAGAAUGACGGGCCUGUUUGAGAAGUGUCUGCUUGUGGUGUGGCCCUUGCAUGGUGCUCAGAGGCUUCUCUGGUGGCCGAGGUUGGUAGCGUUGGGCUGGCCCUUGCUGGCCGGUCAGGGUUGGUCUUGGGACCGUAGAUAAUUUGUUGAGGCCCUCUGGGCUUGAUUGAACACGUGGUCAUUGGAGUAGGAGUGUCCUCUUAGCGCUUUAUUAUCUGUUUAGGACUCCUGUUUGAGCAGGCUUAUAUCAGACUUCAAAGGUAUCAUUUUGAUCUGGGGAAUUUUAGUUUUUAAAGAUCAACAAGUUUAUUUUUAUGAUUAAAAAAUGCAGCCCUAUAGAAUGAAUGGUGUCACCCACUUCCAGCCCUCCCCGCUUGUUCUCCAUAAAUAACAGCUAGUUUUUCCUACCAGAAAUGUUCUAGACGUAUAUAUGUAAACACGUAUAUACAUGUGGGUUACAAAACAUGGGGCAGCAGAGGAUGAGAUGGUUGGAUGGCAUCACUGACUCAAUGAGCUUAGAUUUGAGUAAAUUUCGGGAGAUGGUGGAGGACAAAGAAGCCUGGUGUGCUGCAGAUCAUGGGUUUGCAAAGAGUGAGCAACUGAACAACAACAAGUGACAAAACCGUCCGUAUGUUUAGUGUGAUCCCGAUUUUUUUUUUUGAAGUGUGACAUUGUGUAUGUGUACAGUCUUUGUACUUAAAAAACAAAUGGGGUCUUGCUAAGCAUGCGGUUUUGCAACUUAAAUGUCUUGCUCUGUCUUGGAAAUACUCCUGUGUCAGGUGGCAGAGUUUCCCUGUGUGUUCUUUUUUAAACAGUUGGGAAGUAUUUGAUGUUAUGGAUGCAACACAAUUGAGUCAGUCUCCAUUAGAGAGAAUUUAAACCCCCCCCCCCCCCAUUUUUAGAAGUUAAAAAAAAAUAUAUUUUGUUUAGUUUUGGCUGCACUGGGUCUUGGUUGCAGCUUGCAGACUUUCUCUCUUUGCAGGGGCUAUUCUUCGUUGCUCCAAGGCACAUGAAAUCUUCCUGGCCCAGGGACUGAACCCAUGUCCCCUGCAUUGGCAGGUGGAUUCUUAACCACUAGACCCCCAGGGAAGCCCAUACUUUUGCUAUUUUUAAAUAAUGCUGCAGCAUAUAUCCUUGUACAUGUAACAUUUUUUGUCAGCAUUAGCCAGAGGAUACAUAUUUAUAAGAGAAAUUGCUUGUUUACCAGGUAUAUGUACAUAUGAGUAUGUUUUGCCAACUGUCUUCCAAAAAGUAGCACCAAUUUAUACUUCAGUAGCAGUGUCUAAGAGUGUGUAGUUUCCCAAAUCUCAAAAACACUGGCAUUAUUCAAGUUUUAAAUCUUUUGUCAAUUUGAUAGGUGAAUGGUGCAGUCUAGUUGUUUGAAUUUGUACUUCCGAUGAGAGAAUUUGAGCAUCUUAUGGUGUACUAUAAGUCUUACACUUUAAGAAAAUAUUCACUCUUUGGUAUUUAAUUAGAAUUGUUUUGUGAUGUUUCUGUAUUCUGUUGAAUGAAAAAUGAUGUUCUUGUAAAUACUUUGAUAAAUUGUAAAAGGUGAGUCUUGUUCCUCUUCAACUGAGGAUACUUUUGCCUGUCCUCUGUAUGUGAAUUGUGAUGGUAGAAACUUUCACCACAAAAAUGAGUAAGGUUUGGUGACCUCAGCUGUUAAGUUUUGAAAUAGUUGUGUGUAUACCAGCAAAACAGGACAAAGAAGACCAUGACUGCUAACAGUUAGUGGAUUCUUAACCACUAGGCCACCAGGGACGUCCUGACACAGGACUCCAGGUUUUGGAGAUAGAAAGGAGAGGAUUCAACUUUGGUGGCAGUAUAGUAAAGCUCUUGAGGAGUCGAAUGAUUGGCUUGAUGGGAACAGUUGAAAAUAUUUCCUAGUAAGGUCCUGAAGGAACAGUGGAAGAACAGAAGAGAGGAUUACUGUGGUUCAGUCCUUCUACUAGUGACAGGUGCAAAUAACUUGUUGUUGUUCAUUUGCUUGGUGCUGUCCAACUCUUUGUGACCCGGUGGACUGCAGCACACCAGGCCUCCCUGUCCAUCACCAAUUCCUGGAGUUUACCCAGACUCAUGUCCAUUGAGUUGGAAAUGCCAUCCAACCACCUUAUCCUCUGUCGUCUCCUCCUCCUGCCUUCAAUCUUUCCCAGCAUCAGGGUCUUUUCCAAUGAGUCAGUUCUUCGCAUCAGGUGGCCGAAGUAUUGAAGUUUCAGCUUCAACAUCAGUCCUUCCAAUGAAUAUUCAGGGCUCCUUCAGAAUGGACUGGUUGGAUCUCCUUGCUGUCCAAGGGACUCUCAAGAGUCUUCUCCAACACUGCAGUUCAAAAGCAUCAGUUCUUUGACUCUCAGCUUUCUUUAUGGUCCAAGUCUCAGAUCCAUACAUGACUCCUGGAAAAACCAUAGCUUUGACUAGACGGGCCUUUGUUGACAGGUAGAAAUAAUGUAGCGCCAUUAAAAAUGAGCUACAAAAUGGGGCAGUGGAGGAAGGCAGCGUUGGCAGUGGUGAUCCUGGAGAGGAAACGGUGUCCCAGCUCACGGGCUGAGAUGUGUGGAGUAGUUAAACGUGUGUGUUCAAUUUAUUCUGAGUAGCUUGGUAUUUUCCUGAAAAAUACCACAUUUAUUCUGUUACUUUUGCAUAUGUUCUUAUUGGGAAACGAGUCAUCUAAAAAUCAUUUAUCUUGUGAGGUGGAUAGAGCUAUUACUGAGUGCCUGUUGGGCACCACACGUGACCCUAGGGCGGGGGGUCACUGCCCGCGCUGUGUGCGCUGGGGCGCGGUCAGCUCUCACGGCAGGUUAUGGGCUCAGUCUAGGGCAGACAGGCAUUUUCAUUAAAGGCAGCACAGUCUAUGAAACGGAAUGUGAUUCACUGGUGCUUUUUGAAGGUCAAAAAUUUUGUCUACUUUUAAAAGACCCUUUGACAGUUUAAGUUUAACUUUAUUUGGUAUAAGUAGGACUCCUGUCUUAAAGACAAAUACUGUCUGCUGAAAAAUUUGUUCUUAUUUGAUCAUUUUCCCUUGAAAAAGAACAGUUAUCACUGCAGUGGUGUGUUUUGCUUCAUCUUUACAUCAAACACAUUCAUUUUUGGUGCACAUCACUUCUGUGGCACAAAAUACUGUUUCAUUAGAGUUUUCCAAAACAGCAAUGGUAGUAAAAUUAUUAGGAUCUCAGAAUAUUUUGCAAUCUAAUUUCACUUCUUGAAUUUCCCUAUAAUGGUUCUGUGGUAGGGUUCAAAAUGUCAGGAGAACUAGGUAAACUUACCUAGGAAUUGGCCUGAAGGCCCAUCGUUACUCAGCAGUAUUGGAAUCAGCUAUGCGAAGGGGAGAAUUUGAAGACAAGUUUUAGGAUGCAUGGGAUAUGUUUGAAAGAAGGCUAUUUGCUGAAUAAGAUACAGACAUUUGAAAUAAAGGAUGUGGGCAUAUAGGAAAGGUCAAGAAAUGAAACUCAAUAGAAUGGAUAGGAAUGAAAGAGCAAAUGGAUGAGCAAGAAUUCUUAGUACUUAAAUCCGUCCCAGCAAAACCUCUUCAGUAAUUUGUUGUGACUUCCAGGAUGAAGAUCACACUCAGGACUCAACUGUCUGGAUGACCUGGCUCCAGCUGAUUUAGGUGGUCUUGUCUCCCGUGCCUUGGGAUUCAUGUCUUUGGAUGUCUGCUUCUGGGCCAGCCAUCACCCCUUUUCUUUUCGUUAACUUCUUUUUCUCCUUCAUUUUCAAUUCAGUUAUCACUCUUGUCAGGUAAAGCAGACCCCCGCCCCAGUCACCUCUUCUUUUUUAAUAACUCAUGUUUUCCUGUCCUUUUCUUUCACACGUUUAUCACAGUUGGUAGUUUUUUUUUAGUGCUUGUUGUAUUCAUCCCCUCCAGAGAGCAGGGGCCGUGGUGUUUUGCACACCUCUCCCGCCUGCCGCCCCCGCCCCCGCCAUCGAAGGCAUCAGCAAGUCUUUGCCAUAUAUGGCGAGUCCUGAAACAGUGAGCUGCGUUUUGAUGCUGGUCUCAAGGACUGAAUGAUUGCAUAAGGGGGCUGUGCAUUUGGAGUAAGAGCUGAACAGGGCAUGUAGGAGCCCUAAAAAAAAGUGACCCUUUUAAAGAUUAGAUUGGAAAAGUAUGUAGCCGGUAAGAAGGCCAAGUCACUCAGGGAUUAGUGUAACAAGUGUGUGUGGAGUAGCAACACCUACUAGCUCUUAGAAACUUGGCAUUGUAUGAUGGAGUGGAAGGGUGGUGCCCUCUUUAUUAAAGGAGUACAUAAUUUUAGUAGUUUAUUGAAGUAGAUACAGUCCUUAGUGUUCAUUUGGAGUUUUAUAUUGUGGAGGGAACCAGCCUGGCUCUUCUUUAUAAUUUUUAGCCAGCAAAGUGCGGUUCAUUCAACAGUUACAUCUGGAAAGUCAGUCCAGCACCAGCAGUAGGUGUCGGGUUCACAUUUAAAAUAAGUUCUAGCUUUGAUGUCAUUUAAAAAGUGAUGGAAAGGUAAAGAAAGUUGUUUGUUUGGAUACUUUUUGGCUUUACUUUGCCUUCACAGAACAAGAAUGAUUGAGGGAAAGUUUAUUGUAUGGAUGGAUUUUCAAAAGAAUUGACUCUUGUAGUUAGGAAACUGUUGAGGCUUGUCAGGUGAAUCAUCUUUUUAAAAGCUUAAAAGGGAUUUGUUUUAAAGUAGUUCUGAAAUCUUUCUCAGUGACUAGUUUCUGUAGUAAAUAUUUAGAAAAGCAAAUAUUCAGAUUUUAUUUUUUUGGCUCUUCGCCUGGGCCCAUGCCAGUCCCUUGGGACAUAGCUGUGACUCACAUGGACGUACAUGGUACCUGCCCUCUUGAAGCUCUUCAAUAGUUAGAUUGAGUUAGAGCUCAUUCAAGAGAACGCUAAUAAAAGAAAACAUGGCUUGUUGCUUCCAUCCAGCCAGCCAUCCCAUUGUCCAUCUAUUUAUGUAUUCCUUCAACUUAGUUUUGGUGGCAACAUGUCUUUAAGCUUCUUGUUGCUUUAUUUCUGGUAACAUAGGGACUAAUCUGCAAUGCAGGGAAGUAAAUUUGCUUAAGAUUAAUCAUAGUAUUUAAUAAAAAACCCAGUGAACAGUUAAAGGCCCUGAAGUUAAACAUUGAGAGAGAAAAGAAGAAGGAACAUAGGACUUCUAUAACCUGUUACUUGAGAUAGAUGAAAGUUCUGGUACACUGAUGGCUGGACGGCAUCACUGAUGCAGUGAACAUGAACUUGGGCAAACUCCCAGAGAUGGUGAGGGACAGGGAGGCCUGGUGUGCUGCAGUCCGCGGGGUCGCGAAGAGUUGGACAUGACUGGGUGACUGAACAGCAACAGCAAGCUGGGACUCAGGAGGAUAAUGAUUAUAAUUCCAAUGCAGAAUAGAAACUCAGAUCUUCCACUUGUUGACAUUGACAGACUUUUAAAAAAAGAUGUUCAUGUAAGCCAGUGAGUUUCUCCUAUUAAAAAGUAAGCUACUGUUUGAUGGUAACAGGUCAGUUCAGUCACUUAGUCGUGUCUGCCUCUUUGUGGCCCUAUGGACUGCAGCACGCCAGGCCUCCCUGUCCAUCUCCAGCUCCCGGAGUUUACUCAGACUCAUGUCCAUUGAGUUGGUGAUGCCAUCCAACCAUCUCAUUCUCUGUUGUCCCCUUCUCCUCCUGCCCUCAAUCUUUUCCAGCAUCAGGGUCUUUUCCAGUGAGUCAGCUCUUCGCAUCAGGUGGCCGAAGUACUGGAGUUUCAGCUUCAGCAUCAUUUCUUCCAGUGAAUAUUCAGGACUGAUUUCCUUUAGGAUGGGUGGAUCUCCUUGCUGUCCAAGGGACUCUGAAGAGUCUUCUCCAGCACCACAGUUCCAAAGCAUCAAUUCUUCAGUGCUCAGUUUUCUUUAGUCAGACUCUCACAUCCAUACAUGACUACCACAAUAGUAGCUACUAUUAAUUGAUUGCCUGCUAUGGGCCAUACACUAUACAGAUUCAUUAUCAGUUAUUUUAAUAUUAGCACUAGCACUGGAAGGUGGUUGGUAAUAUCUGUUUAUAAGUUAAAAAACUGCGGUGCAGGGAGAUAAAUUUGCUUAAGGUUAAUCAUAGUAUUUUGCAUAUGCUGCUUCUAGAUAAUAAAAAACGCAGUGAACAGUUAAAGGCCCUAAAGUUAAAUGAACGUUUAGAGAGAAAAGAAGAAGGAACGUAGAGCUUCUGUGACUUGUUAAUUGGAGAGCUAGAUAAAAGUUGUGGUAUGCUGGGAUUCAUACUUUGUGCCUCUAGUUCAUGAGUGUUUAAGAUGAUAAACCAGAACAUCUGAUAGCUUUCUACAUUUACGGAAUUCUUUACCUUAAGAAUCUCGGUGAGAGGGAGGUAGACGUCUUCCAUUGUGAAAGGCAGUUGCUCACUUUCUCUGCAUUUUUGGGACUUAGAAUGCCCUCAUAUGACCUGGGGCCUCCAUUCCAGCACCUCAGAAGCGGUGAUUUGCAGAAGCAGGCCCUAGCGGAGUCCAUGUCCGCAUAGGAGGAGGAUGGCCGUGGUGUCUCUUCUGGAGGCCGUCAGUGACAGAUCAAGUCCUGGCACUUCGUUCCGGUGUCCGUGGUGUCUCUGCAAGUCACAGGGACCGAAUCCUGUGUUGUCUCCACUGGACCACAUCUGUGGUUUGCUGUUUGGGUGUUCUUAACUAUACGGCCUUCCAGCCUGGCCCUCCUGGGGUUUUCUGUGAGUUGCCUAAUAUGCUUUAAUAACUUCCUUUUCAGUUUCAACAAAGCCAGAGUUAGUUUCUUUUGUUUGCAGCUAGAACCUUUACUGAGAUGGUGCCAGUUUCGAUAAUAGACGAUUUGAAGGAACUCUCUAGAGUCAGAGUCAUCUGUGUCUAGGUAAGAAUUUGCUGAGUAGAAGAGUUCACAGUAUGUAUUAAAUGAAAUACUCGUAAAACAUUUUGCGUAUUGAUUUAAUGAUUUUACUGAAUUCGAGUGCUUACUCUCAGCCAGGGUAUGUUCUAGGUGUUGGAUAUUCAGGGUGAUGGUGUAGGUAAGAUCCCUGUGCUCACAGAGCUUAUGUUCUCUUGUGAAGUGUAGAGUAAGCAAGGAAGCAACCAACAUACUGACCAGGAGUGAUCGAUAUUGUGAUAAAAGUAAAGAUGGGGUAAAAUGAUAAUGGGGCUUCCUUGAUGGUUCAGUGGGUCAAGAAUCUUGUCUGCAAUGCAGGAGACACAGGAGAUGCAGGUUGUAUCCCGGGGUCGGGAAGGUGCCCUGGAGGAGGAACUGGCAACCUGCUCCAGUAUUCUCGCCUGGAGAAUUCCAUGAACUAGAGGAGCCUGAUGGGCUACAUACAGUCCAGGGGGUCGCAAAAGUUGGACACAGCUGAGCGACUAACACGUUCUAAGUUAUAAUGAUGUAUGUGUGUAUGUUUAGGGAUUGCAUCUGAUAAAACAUUUACUUAAAAAUUACUGUCAGAAGUCUUGACUUCUGCUUUUUACUGUGGGGCAGUAACUUUCUGAAGUUAUCCUCCCAGCAUAAACAGCUAGGAAGCUGGACAAAACACAUGGAACAACUGGUUUUGGAUAGUAAACAAUAGGCAGUUCAGAACUGUGAUGCCUAACAGAUGGGAAACAGACGUGGUGAGUCCUGUGAUGGUCCAGCUUUCUGCCUGGAGGCAGCCUUCAGAUUUCAUUGCGGGGAUGUGCAUGUGUUCUCAGAAGCGUCUGACUCUCUGCGACCCCGUGGACCAUAUCCUCCCAGGCUCCUCUGUCCAUGGGAUUUCCUGGCAAGAAUACUGGAGUGGGUUGCCAUUUCUUCCUCCAGGGGAUUUCCCGACCCAGGGACCCAACCCGCAUCCACUGCGUUGGCAGGUGGAUUCUUCACCACUGAGCCACCGAAGGAGACCCCAGAGAAAGGCCGCAAGUUGAGGAAAGAGAGCCUGGAGUUGAGGAAGGCCAGAAUGGUUCUGAUGGGAGGAGCAGAGUUCUGAAAGAAGGCAGGCAUGCAGGGAAAGAGUUCCAUAAUCUUCGUGAUCACCGUGAAUGUUGACUGAAGGCUGGUCUGUGGGACUGCAGGUACAGAGGACUGGCUGUGAGUUUAUACUUGGAGAUUUGACUCUCCGGGGUGGGGUGGGGGGUCAGCACUUUUCACCUUUCUGUUGUUCAAGGGUCACCUGUAAUUUGAAAGGAAUGUAAUUGCUUGUCCUUACAGAGGCCAACACUCUUUAAAGAAAUGUAAAGAAAGCCAGCACUCAACAAUGUAAAAAUGUCCAGUAUCCAAUCAAAAAUUGCUGAAUGUGUGAAGAUGUAGGUUAAUGUGACUUAUAAUUGGGGUAUCAGUAAACUGAAACCAAUCUAGAAUUGACACGUUAGGAUUAAUGGGCAAGGACAUGAAAGCAGUUGCUGUAUUCCAUCUAUUCAAAAAGUUAGAAAUUAUGAAAGAUAUAAAAAGACCCACGUCAAACUUUUAGAGGCGACAGCUAAGAUGUGGAAUGAGAAAUACAUUGGAUGGCAUUAAUGGCAGAUUAGGCAUUCCAGAAGAGAGGAUUAGUAAACUUGAAGACAUAGAAAACUCAGUCAGUAGAAACAAAUGAUAGAGACAAUGGAAUUAGCAAACAAGGUUGUUAAAGUGGCUAUUAAAGUGGUUAUUAAAAUGCAGGGUCAAAUGUCAAUUCACUGUGUUGUACACCUGAAACUAAUAUAUUUCAUGUCAAAUAUACCUCAAUAAAAAAUAUAAGUAAAGCACAGGGUCAGAUUGUGGUUAACGUUGACAUUUUGGUACAUGAAUUUUUUCUAAAAAAGAGCAAAUUGUAACUGCUAACCUGAAGUUGGCUUGUUGUGUAGUUGAGAGUAGUUGAAAAUUAUUAUUUCGGCAAAGCACCAAGAUGUGGCAGAAGAACUUUACUGUGCAACAGUGUGCUCAUUUUUACUUGAUCUGUAACAGUAUUACCAUAAAGCUAGAAACGGAAAGCAUGCUUUUAUGGCCUCACAGUGUCUGUGGGUCAGAUAUACGGGCACAGCUUAGCUUAGUUGGGUCUCAGGACAGCGAUCAUAAGGUUGACGGUGCUGUGGUCUCACCUGAGGCUUCCCUGGGGAAAGGUCUCUGCUUGUUUGACGGGUGCCAGCGUUCAGCGCCCUCUGUGAUGGUGGACCGAGGGCUGCAGUUUCUUGCUGCCUGCUGGCAGGCACCCACCCUCAGUUCCUUGGGUUGUGGUCCUUUCCCAUCGUGGCCACUUAACUUGCUCCAAGACGGUGAAGGAGCGAGUCUGCACACUAGACAGCUGCGUGGUCUCCUGCCUCAUAACCACAGAAGCGCCAUGCCUUCCCCUUGCCUGUGCGCUCUUGGUUAACAGCAAGUCAUGGGUCUUGAAUCAAGGGAAGGGCCCGUGGAAGGGCCUGGCAGCAGAUGGCUGUGUGGUGGGAGCCACCUCAGAGUCUGUCCCUGCGGACGGUAGAGAGAGGUGGAGAGUGCGUUUCCUGGAGUCUGCGCCAGGCAUCUGGCUUUGAAUCCCAGCCCUGGAAGCAUCUCUGAGCCUCAGUUUCCCUGCGGGGAUAGUCUCUGCCUACUGUUGACAGUGUGUGAAAAGGGCGAAUGCUUGUCAUCAGUUAAAUUCUUUCUUUAUACUACUGUUCGUUAGUUCUCAAUAGAUGAGAUCUUCAGUCCUUUUUUGCUUCCUAUGAAUUUUUUAAAGUAUUUAUUCUUAGUUUUAACAUGCAAAUAAUCAAAAUUGAAUGUCUGCUGAAAGGCUUGUGAAGUAAAGCCUGUCCCUGGGAACAGCCCUCCUUACUCCUCCUAGUCCUGCCCCCUAGAGCUGUGCUUCCUGCUUUUGGAUGCUAGUGCUGAGACCACGACCCAAACUGGCUUCCGGGUAACUCACAGUUGGAAGUCCAGAGGUAGGGUGGAUUCUUCAGCUAAUUGGUUUUGUGGCUUCCCUGUGGCUCAUACGGUAAAGCGUCUGCCUACAGUGUGGGUAGACCCGGGUUUGAUCCCUGGGUCAGGAAGAUCUCCUGGAGAAGGAAAUGGCAACCCACUCCAGUACUCUUGCCUGGAAAAUUCCAUGGAUGGAGGAGCCUGGUAGGCUACAGUCCAUGGGGUCGCAAAGAGUUGGACACGACUGAGUGACUUCAUUGUCAAUGUCAGUGACUUCAGGGUCCUGAGUUUCCGUCUCCCCUUUGAGUCUUUGGCCGGUUACAUCCUCAAUAAGAUGCCGGAGUUUCAGAGUAGUACCCAGGUACAACAGUGUCUAGAGAAGGAAAAUUAUCUUUCAUGUAGCUGUGUAAGGAUGUGGAAGCUUUGCUUAGAAGCACUGGCAGACCUGCCUCCUGGCUCACAGGCCUGUUUCUGAAACACUCACUAGAAAGGGAAAUGGAAUGACAUUUAGACCAGUCGGACACGUGCGUGGAACUGAGUGCUUUCCCUGAGCACGUGCCUAAAUGGGUGAGUGUGCAGAAGAGUUCUGGACAAAAUUGACUUAGGUUACAGCGGAAAAGGGGGAAAUUGGAGGCUGGGUGGGUAACUCUGACCCUACUCUGGUAUUUGACAUAAGCUUUAAGACGCUGUCUAUUGGUUUUCUGAAGUGUGUGUGCUCAGUCUUGUCUGACUGCGAACCCGUAAACUGUAGCUCGCCAGGCUCCUCUGUCGAUGGAAUUCUCUAGGCAAGAGUACUGGAGUGGGGGAGUGGGUGUCAUUGUUUUUAGACUGACGUCUUCCAUCUAUCCGUUGUAGUUACACGUAUGUUUUCGUAGAGUGUAUUCAGUGUAGUGUUAUGAUUAUGUAAGUCUUGCUCACUGUAGAGGCAAAUUGUAUACUGUGAUUACAUUUCCCUCCUUGUAUAAUUUUGUUUUUCCCGUUUUGUUUUCCUCCUGUGGUUUUGUUUUGCUUUGUUUUCUAGGUCCUCCUGUUAACUUUCCCCAUACCUUCUAAUAGCCUCUCUGUAUAGUUUUGCACAAAGAUUAGAUAAUUGCCCUAUGCCUCAUUCUCACCCACCCCACCCCCUUCCUUAAGGGCCCCUCCAUCAAACCACUCCUAUAUGGGAAUUAAAUGUUGUUGAUUAAAGUGCGGUUGAUUUACAGUAUUGUGUUUCUGCUGUAUCGCAGAGUGAGUCCAUUAUACAUACAUGUAUGUGCUCUCUUUUAGGGUCUUUUCCUAUGUAUGUCGUUGUUUAGCUGCCGAGUCGUGUCCGACUCUUUGCGACCCCAUGGACUGUAGCCCACCCAGCUCCUCGGUCCACGGGAUUUCCCAGGCAAGGAUACUGGAGUGGGUUGCUAUUUCCUCCUCCAACUUUUUUCUUUCAUUUUGUCAGCACAGCUUUUAGACUUCCCGAGAAAGAGUGCAUGAGAGGUUAGUUUUUUGAGACAUCAUCUGAAAGUGUCUUUAAUCUGAUUUCUUUCAGGAGUAAAAGUUUUGACUGGGUAUAGAAUUGCAGUUGGAAUGUAAUUUUUACUGAGAACUCUGAAUGAAUUGCUUUAUGCUUUUCUAGCUUCUUAUAGCAGAUAUAAUUUGUAUUCUCGGUUCCAAAAGUAUGGAAAAGUCAGAGGACAUAAUGCACUCUCAUGUAACCAUUACCCAUCUUCAGCAGUCGUCAGCUCAUGGCCACUUUUUAAAAAUUUAUAAUCCUGUCUGUCCUUCUUCCUUUUCAUUUCAUACCAGCAAACCCAGAUACAUAAUUUUACUUGCGAAUAUUUGUCUCUCUAAAAGAUAAGGGCUCGUUUGUGAACUAUAACCCUUGUAGUAAUAUCAUACCUUUAAAAGAUUAAAAAUAAUUCUUCAAAUAUCCAGUUUAAGUUCAAAUUACCUUGAUUGCCUCAUAAUUAUAUUUUAAAACAGUUUAUUCAAAUUAGAAUCUUAAGUAAGGUCCAUAAAUUGUCAGACUGACAAACCUCUGAAGUCUCUUUUAAUCUGUUGGUGUUAUUUUUUUCCCUUGAGUUUUAUUUGUUGAAGAAACUGUGUUCUCUGUCUUGAAGUUUUCUAUAGCCUCUGCAUUGCUGAGUGAAACCCUGUGGUGUCAUUGACGUGUCCCCGUCCCUUGCAGUGUAUUUCCUAUAUGUGGUAGUGAGAUCUAGAGACUUGAUAAGAUUCUGUGUGUGUGUGUGUGUGUGUUUUGAGAGGUGGUAAGUAGGGAGAAUACUACAUGGGUGGUAUGUUAUCUUUAGGAGGCAUAAAAUAUCUGACUCUGUGAUGCUAGUGACUACUAAAUAUUAAUGUGGAUCCAUUGAUUUAUUUGAGAUAUUGGUUCUUUUUAUGUGAACCCUCCCACUCCCCAGGAGUUUUGAGGAUCUGAUCUUCAUCUGUACUGUUCGGAAGUUUUGUAGUGUUGCCUUGAAUAUUUUUUGUUUAUUUUUUACCCGUAUUGGGAGAUAUUUUUCAACUUUUUAUUUUCCAUCAGGAUAUAUUUUUUAUGUUCUCUGCUCCCUACCCCGCCCCCCCCCCCCCCCGCCCUUGCCCUUUCUUUCUUUUCAUUAGUAUUUUGUUUUUACUUCAUGGUUUCACAUAUUCUUUUACCUCUUCAGGCACAUUCAUAUUAUGAUUAAUUGCCUUUUUUUUCCCCUUCAUGGCAUUGUCUCUGUUUCCUGCGGAUUCUUGUUUUUCUGCUUGCUUUGAUUUCUGUCUUUGAGUUUUGGCAGCUUUCCUCAAAUAUCUGGCCAUCCCUGGGCUGGUGGCUUGCGUUUAGGAGUAAGUGGUGAUAAAGCUGAAAAGAAGCUAUUUUCGUGGGUGAAGCUUGCUCACUGAAGGCAUAUUAGUGUGGUGCUUGAGGGACCUGUAAGCGUGAGUGCCCUUGUUUUACUCCAGGGCUCUUGUUGAUGAGUCGCUAAGGUGUGUCCGACUCGUUGCUACUCUGUGGACUGUAACCGACCAGGCUCCUCUGUCCAUGGGAUUUCCCAGGCAAGAGUACUGGAGUAGGGUGCCGGUUCCUUCUUCAAGGGAUCUUCCUGAUCCAGGGAUCAAAUCUGCAUCCCCUGUGUUGGCAGGUGGAUUGUUUACCUGCUGCUGAGCCACCGAGGAAGCUCCUUGCAGUCUUCCGCCUCACCUGUUCUCUUGUGCUUGGUCUCUCCACGGGUGGAGUCUCUGUGUGUUUUCCCCAGAGAGCGUGCAUGCCUCUGGUCUGUUUGGGGACAUGAUCGUUGCCAGCCCGGAUAGGAUUUGGGUUGCAAUAUGGGGUUUUACUGCAUUUAAUUUGCUUAUUUGUUGAAAUGAACUCAGAUAAGUUGCAGGUAGAAUAUAAAUAACUUUUAUUUCUUGAAUCUUUUGAGAUAAAGUUGUUGACAUGAAGUCUCUUCUUUGUUGAAUCUUGUAGUGCAUUUUUCCUAUAAACAGAGACGUUCUCUUGCCUGACGACAGUACAGCCAUCAGAGGCAGAAAUUUAACAUUGAUAUAUUACAGUUGUCUGAUCCUUAGGCCUCCAUUCAGCUUUCAGUCGUUGCCCCAGUGGUAUUCCUUUAUAGAAGGAUACAGUCAAUCUAGGAUCACUUAACACCUUUUGUUGUCAUGUCUCUCCAAUUCUUGAUCUACAGUAGUCCUUCAGCUGCUCUUUCUUUUAUGAUAUUGAUAUAUUUGAAGACUACAGGCCAGUUAUUUUAGAGAGUCCCUCUCAAUGUGAGUUUGUCUGAUGUUUCUUUACUAGAUGUAGGCUGAACAUCUUGGCCAGGAGUAUCAUGGAAGGGAUGCUAUGUUAAUUUCAGUGCAUUUUGUUAGAUGGUGUAUUACUGAUUUUCAGUUUGUGCUGUAAAAAAUAUUACCACAAGUUCAGUGGCUUAAAAAAACACACAUUAUGUCACAGUUCUGAGUUCAGAAGUCCAAAAUGGAUCUGCUCUGGGCUCAAGUCUUGGUGUUGGUAGGGCUGCAUCCCUCGUGGAGACUGUAAGUUCAUGUGCCUGCCCUCUCCUGGUUCUGGGGGCCAUCUGCUUUUCUUGGCUUGGGUCUCCCCCUCUUUGCACAACUGGCCACUGUGGACCUCGCGCACCUGUGCUGCCGUCUCUCUCCUUCCUGCUUUCACUCUGGAGGGGUUUUGUGAUUUCACUGGGCCCACUGGGGUCAUUGAGGUUAGUCUCAAUUUUAAAGUUAUGUGAUUGGCAAAUUUAAUUUUCUGUGCAGCCGUGAUUCCCCUUUGCUAUGUAAAGGAACGCGUUCACAGGUGCCGAGGGUCAGGUUGUGGAGCACGCUUGGGCGGGGUGGUACCGUGCCUACUGCCGGGGGCAUAUGAUUUCCGUUGGUACCAUUAUUGAUAACAUUCACUUUGAUUACUUGAUUAUGGUGGUGCCUUCAGACUCCUCCAUUUUAAAGUUACUUUUCCUCCCUUUUUGUAAUAAGUAUUUUGUACAGAGAUACUUUGCGACUGUGUAAAAUAUUGUCGGUUACCGACUUUUAACGUGUUUACUUGUUUUGUAUCACUGUGGGUACCUGAUUUUCUGUUUCAUGCAGUGGGUUGUAAUCUAUUACUGCAUUGAUUUUGGUGCUUCACUUGCCCCAGAUUUCGCCAGGUUGACUUCUGUGUCCUUUUAGCCUAUCUCUGUCAUUUUUUGGAGCUCUUCCAAGCUUAUCUUAAACUUUUGUCUCAGCCUUGGAGUAGGCCAUUUUUCCAAGAAGCCCCUUCCCCCCUAAAAAGUCUUUAUUUUGAAAUGAUUAUUUCACAUUUCAAAACUCAUAGGAAGUUGCAAGGAUGCCCCGUCAGCUUCCUUUGGUGGAAUUUGUGUAGCCUUAGCACAGUAUCAAAAUCUGGGCAUCUGAUAUAUCUGGUACAUUUCUGGUAAAUGCAUGCCUUAUUUCUUUAGUUUUUAAACUUGCAUUUGUGUGUGUGAGCAUAGUCUUUUGUAACUUUUCUGUUCCUUGUAUAGAUUUGGGUAAGCUAGUCCUACAGUCAAAGAGAGCUGUUCUAUCACUUUAGAAGAACGCUUUUUGCUACCUGUUUGUAUUCCCAAUACCCCCUCCACCGUUUUGUUUAUUCUCCGUGUUUGUAGUUUUGUCACUUCAGUGUGUGAGAUGAGUGGAAUCAUACAGUAUGUAACCUUUCUAAGAUCAGCCUUUUUCACAAAGCGUAAUGCCUUGAGGUCCGUUUGGUGUUGUGCACAGCAGUAGUUAAUCUUUCUUAUUGCUGAGUAGGGUUCUGUUGUAUGCUUGUACCAAGUUUGUUAAACCAUUCAACUAUUGAAGGGCAUUUGGAUUGUUUCGAGUAUUUUGUAUGAUAUUGUGAAUAAAGCUGCUGUGAAUGUCUGUGACAGAUGUCUGUGCGGCGUCCUCUGCGUCAGGGGGUGGGGUCUGCGCGUGCUGCUGGGCCCCAUGCUGGGCGUGUGUGCAGUCCUCUAGGCACCCCCAGAGUCUCCCCGUGGUGUGUGUGCCCGCUGUGUUCUCAGCAGCGCCGCACGAGGGGCCAGUUCCUCGGCAUCUGCCCACCGUCUGGUAUUAUCACCCUUUUAUUCAGCUGUGGGUGUCGUGCUCUACUGUGGUUUCAGUGUGCAUUUUCUUAAUAACUAAGGAUGUUAAACAUCUUUUCAUUUGCUUGUUUGCUAUCUCUGUCUCCUCUUUGGUGAAAUAUCUGUUCAUGUCUUUCGUCCAUUUUCUGAUUAGUUUUUUUUAAAAAAAUUUGAGUUAUGAGAGUUCUUUAUGUGUUCUGGAUACAAGGUCUUUUUUUUGUUGGAUAUGUGAUUCUCCCUGUCUGUUCCUUGUUUUUUGCUUCCUCAUUACAGUCUUUUUUUUUUUUUUUCCAGAGUAAAAAGUUUGGAUUUUGACAGAGUCCAGUUUAUAUUAAAUUUUUCUUUUAUGGGUCAUGUAUUUGAUAUCAAGCAUGAGAACUCUGCCUGGAGUGCUGGUUUCUUUUCCUGGAGAAUGGUAUUUAGAAACCGAAAUCUGACCAUUAGGUAUGCUCAUUGCUGUUAGGGUGUGGGUGCUCCGCAGGUCUCUGGACAUAGAGAAUGUGUGUGUGUCCUCAGAGGCCCUUCCAGGUUUCAGGAUUCGUUCACCAUUUUCCUUGGUAUCUUCAGGUGUAGACACUUACUGUGUGCCUUUCUUCAUUCUCCUAAGUCUACUACCACUGUCCAUGAUUUUUCGUUACCUAAAAAUUUGACCAUUACUUUCUUCUGUUGUUAUUAUUACUUUUGAUGUCUUUACUGAUUUUAGUUGGCUUUAAUUUUCAGUGGCGCUUUGUGAGAAUAGUUGUAAAUGCUUGGAUCAUCCACUGUUGAAUUUGUACUUACUGAAGCUGUAAUAUUCCUUUUUUCAGACUAUUUUUUGGUCUUUAUUUCUUUACACUCUCAGCCCUGCUGUCUUCGUCCUUAUACUUGCUCUCACCCUGAUUGUGCUGUUUCUCCACAGCCUGUAACCAUCCAUGACUUUUGUUUCUAAGCAGUGAAGACCAGGUUUAUUAUUCAGGUCCUCCUUGUGGUGACCUCAGCUUGUCUUGGCACUCUUUGCCUGCAGCCCCCUGCGCUUGCUCCACUUAACGGCUCCUCUCAGUGGCUCUCAUCCCCGCGCGUGUUUUGCUUUCCGCUCCUUCCGCUCUGUCUUCCUUCAGGCACACUGUCUCUGCUGCUUACACAGGGCCUUCUGUAGAGCCCAGAGCUCAGCAUAGUAGGCACCUGAGGCAUCAGAUGCACAAAUGCUGCUUCCUCUAAUAUGAUAAUAUCACCCAAGCUUUUUAUUGCCUAUUUUCAUUUUCCAAACACUGUCAUCAUAUAGCAUCUCAUUUAAUUCUCAAAGCAGCUCUGUCAGCCAUUACUCAUCUUUAAGAAAUGAUGCUGAGUGAAAUGUCCAAGGUCUAAUUAUAGGAGUAAUAUUUAACAUGUUUGCGUUCCUUGUUAUGUGACAGGCCCUGAUUUAGAUGCUAAGGACACUUGGGGAAGAAAGCAGACACAAAUGCCCUCGGUACAGCCGAUGUUAGAAUGUUUGAAUUCCAGCCCUUGUGGGGUGGGUUUUGGGGAAAGUCUUCAUAACCUCAGUUACUCAUCUCAGAUGUCAUCUCCUUUAGUCUUUCCUAACUCUCCUGGAAGGAUGCAUAAAUGGGGUAGAAAGAAUAGCUCUAUCUUCUGUGUUCUCAUUGGUUCCUUCUUGUGUUUGCAUUGUGCCCAGUUUUACUCUCAGUUCAGUUGCUCAGUUGCGUCUGACUUUUUGUGACCCCAGGGAUUGCAGCACGCCAGGCCUCCCUGUCCAUCACCAACUCCCGGAGUUUGCUCAUAUUCAUGUCCGUUGAGUCGGUGAUGCCAUCCAACCAUCUCAUCCUCUGUUGUCCCCUUCUCCCGCCCUCAAACUUUCCCACCAUCAGGGUCUUUUCCAGCGAGUCAGUUCUUCGCAUGAGGUGGCCAAAGUAUUGAAGUUUCAGCUUCAGCAUCAGUCCUUCCGAUGAAUAUUCAGGACUGAUUUCCUUUAGGAGGGACUGGUUGGAUCUCUUGGCAGUCCAAGGACUCUGAAGAGUCUUCUCCAGUACCACAAUUCUAAAGCAUCAGUAGCAUUUGUAAAAUCACUAUUUGUAUUUGGGGCCUUGGCUAGAUUGAGCAGCAGUGGGCAGGGAUUUUUUUUUUUUUCCUGGUAUCCAGGAUGCCUGGCACAGAGUGUAUCUUAAAUAUUUCUCAGUAAGUGUUUGAACCCAUAACAUAAAGACUUAUCCAUGGUUGUCAUUUUCUACUGGCAGAUAGCAGUUCUCUUUUGUUCUCAUUACUACCUCUGUGCGAGGAUACAAAUCAGUUUAAAAAUCUCCACUCUGUAUUCUUAGCCAGGAGGGUAUAUUCUCAAAGAGAUUAUCUGUAGGCAGCUUCUUAACUGAAGUUCAAUAAGCUAUUUUGUGUGUGGAUGUGUAUAGGUCUUUAGCCCGAAGAUGGAGUCUUGACCCGCUUCUCUCCUCAGUAUUAACAAUCUUGUAGGAGUUCUGAGUUAUUCGUUAAAGAAGUGUGCUGAUACAAAAUAAGAUGUAAGAAUUUACCAGCCUUUUUUCCAAGUUCAAGACAGUAAAUUAUUUUCAGAUGUGGAGUGUUUACCUUCAAACAUCUUGCAAACAGGUACAUUUUAACUUUUCUUCCAUGUUUGUUUGCAUACAAAAUAUUGAGGUUAUCUGUAUUUAUUUAGUGAACCAUGUCAAAACUCAGAAGCUUAAAACAACCAAUGCUCUUGUUUGCUCACGAUUCUCCAAUUUGGGCAGGCCUUGCCUCCAUUCUACAUGGUGUCUCCUGGGACUGGGAAGUCCAAGAGGGUGGAUUCCAGCCCGUGUGGUGUCUGAGACAUCUUCCUUAGAUAACGUAUUUGUAUGAUUGCCCUGGGCUCUCUCACGGCAUGGUCUUGGGGUGGUUGAACUUCAUAUGUUCAACUGGUUUGAACUGGAUUCUGGUGGUGCCAACAGCAGGAGCCACUGGGCCAUCUUAAUACUUUACAUGCCUGAAGCUGGUAUAGUGUCAUCUUUACCAGAUUCUUUGGUCAAAAGCAAGUCACAGGGCAGUCUGGAUUCAUGCAGAGGAGACAGUAUAAGGUGCAGACACUGGGCUGCUGCUGCUGCUAAGUCGCUUCAGUCAUAUCUGACUCUGUGCGACCCCAUAGACGGCAGCCCACCAGGCUCUCCCGUCCCUGGGAUUCUCCAGGCAAGAACACUGGAGUGGGUUGCCAUUUCCUUCUCCAAUGCAUGAAAGUGAAAGUGAAGUCGCUCAGUCAUGUCCAACUCUUUGCGACCCCAUGGACUGUAGCCUACCAGGCUUUUCUGUCCAUGGGAUUUUCCAGGCAAGAGUACUGGAGUGGGAUGCCAUCGCCUUCUCCGGCGGACACUGGGCAGAAGUGGUUUAUUGGGACCACCAAGGGGCAUGAACUCCAGAAGGUUAUCUGUCUAAAGUGGAGAAAGACCACUUUUCUGUUCUGUUUUUAUUAUCUAAUCUGACCAGCGUAUCCAUUUUAUAAUGCAGUGAUCUGAUUGUAUGUCAUUUUUGCUGUCACUACAUUCAGAUAGCUGUAAUUUGUUGUAUUCACUUAAACUGUGGAUUGAUCAUUUUGGUAGGGCUUGUAAUUAUGGAGAUGUGGAGAUUGAAGAGACAAUGGAGUACUUUAUGGCUUACCCGGCUCCGAGUUGCACCUAAGUUCAAGUACCAAAACAUUGGAUAAGAACCCAGAGUACAUACUUUGUGAAAUAAGUGAUGUGAACGUCCUUUGGGGCCACAUGUUGCAGUCCAUAAAAUAUCUCAAAUGUUUCUCCAGCAGCCCUGUGGUUAUGCUUUGUCCAGGAGAAAGAAGAGACAGAUAAUUACAUCUUCUGUAAUGACAGCUCAGGACUUAUGUUUUUCUGCCUCCGAAUAGAUUUCUCCUUAAUGCUCAGAAUAUGAAAGUGUUCAUUUCAUUUAAAUGGUUCUGAUCUCGAUUCCAUGUUGAGGCCGUCCUGUUAACUGGGUUUGAGGGUGACAGUGGAAGUUUGUCACAUUCGGUGGCUCCUUGUGGCUCAUUGACCAGACACAUCAGAGUUCUCUGGAAAGCUUAAAAGAAGUGGAAGUUUUUGGGUCUAGCCCCAGACUCGGCGUAUCCAAAUGUCUGAGAAGGGGUCUGGGUGAUGUGUAGUUUGCGGAUCCCAUUUUUAGGUUCUGCAGCUGCAGUCUCCAAAGGGGCGCUAUCACUCCCCAAGGAGGGGAGACUUUUCAGGCAUGGGGAGGUGAGAAAAAUCUUAGCUAGUACAGUGCUUUGUGACCGCCCCCCCCCCCCCCAUAAUUCAACCCUAUCUGACAAAGCCUUAUUCCACAAUUUUUCAUUCUUCUCUGUAAAGGAGAGAUUUAAAUAAAGCUUUCCUCCUGGGGAUGGGAGUAAAGGAAAGGUUGAGAACCAUUGUUCUGUAAGAGUAAUUCUGACAUAGUACCUGUCCCACCACACCUGAGCCACCACCCCCAUCCUGGAAAACGUAGUGUGUGAUUUGGAGAAUGUGUUUUUAAUACUAAGGUUUUACCUAUGCUAAAUAGGCUUUCCUUUAAAAAUCUUGACGGUUGGUGAAAGCGGUUUACUCCAUGGUGUUUUUGCAUCCAGCCAGAUUGAGCUUACCCUCACGGACAAAGCACUGUGAGAACGGACUCUUCUGGGAUUUGGACUCUUCUGGGAUUCGGAAGCUCUUCAGUUUUACAUUAGCAAAAGCUCCUCCUGUUCUUGGGCUGGUUCACACCCAGCUCACAAGGAUGCCUUAUAGCCCAGGAAAGGACGUGCUCCUGUCCCUCCUGGGAGCCAGGCCUGUGUCCUGUGCGCUGCAGGCCCUGGGGGUUAGGGUGGGGGCAGAGGCGGCGCCCCGGCGCCCCUGUUCUUGGGGCAGGAAGAGUGUGGGCCGGCCACCACUGCUCGGGUUUGUUGCUUGCUUUCCUUGCUUUGGAUGGGGUACGAAUGAAAGUGCUGCAGUUUUGGGCAGUAGUGGGAGAAGGGGGGCUUCCCUGGUGGCUCACACGGUAGAUAACCUGCCUGCACUGUAGGAAACCCAGGUUCGAGCCCUGGAUCAGGAAGCUCCCCUGGACAAGGGAAUAGCAGCCCACUCUAGUAUUCCUGCCUGGAGAAUUCCAUGGGAGCCUGGUUGGGCUACCGUCCACGGGUUGCGAAGAAUUCAGACACAGCUGAGUGACUCACACACACAAAGUGGGAGAAGGAGAAGAGAAGUUUCUAAUAUAUCACUUUCUGUAAAGAAAAUUUAUCUUGGUGUGAGUAUUUCUAGGUCCUUGUUAAUGUCUUGGUCCUGGUUUUGGUUUCUGUGGCAUUUGUCCAGGCUCAGGAGAGUUAAAGGCGUAGGACAGCCAGAAAUCUAAAGGUUUCUGUAAACCUGCAUUCACGUGAGAGCACAUUGCUUGGCAACCGGCAGAUGCUGGGGUAGGUGAUUUGUUGACUCAAUUAAUAAAGUUAACCUAAACUUUAUUUUUAAAAAAGUGUUGUUCUCUUUUCUGAUUUUAGAGUCUAAUCUUAGCAUAGUAUUGAAUGGAAGGUGACCUGGAAAGUUAGGAGGCCCGGGGUCCAGUGUUCUUCCUAUGCACCAUGAUUCUUAACCUCUAGACUUUCACGAAGAAUCUUUUAAAAGCCCUUCAGCGUGCAACAUUUUAGUGUCAAACACCUUAGAAAUGCCCGCAGCUGAUGUCAUCAUUAGAGCGAACGGGUUCCAGUUGCCACCCAAGGAGUGGUGUAUUCGGGUCCACAGUCAAGCUGCUGUAACUGGGAGCCAGCACCUCCGUGGCUCUGAGAACAUAGAAUCCUCUCGAGGUGAACUGCUGGGUCGGCGGGGGGCGGCCCCCGUGGCUCCUUCAGAGACAGGCAUUUAUUCUUCCCUGGUCCUUCAGGGUACCCUGGGGAUGGGCCUCAUCUGUGUUGUCCUUGCCCCAUCUCUUAGGAAGGUGAAGGGACAGACAUGUUCACUCCUUGUCUUAGAAGAUCAGAAGCGGCAGCCAUGCCUCCUUUUGCACUCCGUCUGUGAGAACUUGGUCAUGUGGCCAUACCCAGCUGCCGUGGAAGCCGGAAAGUGGAACCCAGCAGGGCAGUUGUGUGUGUGACUGUCUUGUCUCUGCCGCAGACAGCGUGGAGGAAACCGUUUAGUUUCCUUAGUAUCCUUUUGGGGAUAAGCUUUUUACUGAAUGUUUUUGUUUACCAAAAAUCUUACGGUUAACACAAAGAGGAAGUAAAUUAUUUUGGCAUUUGAUUAAAAUGCUGAGUAUAUUUGAAAGGCAUGUUCUGAAAUUACUAGGAACAUGAAACUAACCAGCUCUAACUGUUUAGACCUUUGUCUCCUCAAAGUACAAGCCAGGUAAAGAGUUGUUUAGUCUCUGCUGCAUUCUGUGUUACUGGAGACACCAAGGUGCACAUUCUGUUGCAAGUGACAUCUCUUUCCCAGAGGAGUAGCACAUCGUUCCCUUUGGUAAACUAGCCCAGCAGAACGAAGCUCUUUCUUAAAUGCUAUCAAACCUCAUGGGCUCUGAAUUCUAAGAAGUUCGUAAAUUUGGCCAUGUGUGAAAAUCACCUGGGGCCCUUGUUCAAAAUACAGGUUCUGGCCCUACCCUUUGGAAGUUCUGAUGGUUCUGUCUCUGAAGCUGAAUUUUUAACCAGCCCCUGAGGGUGAUUCUGAUGCAGAUGUCAGUGGUAUGGGACCCACUUGCUUUGGAUAGUCUACACCUCAGGUGCCUCAGAUGUGAAAGUGCAAAAUUAUGUAUCUACUGGGUUUUGUAGGGUUCAGAGAACGUGACACGAGUUGUACUUAAAAUUGCUUCAUAAAUUAAAACGUAUUAUCAGAAAUGUUAGGUGGCGUUUUUAAGUCUAUGCCAGGUAUUGUGCUAAUUUGUUUGGUAAAUAAGGUUAAGUGCUCAUAUCUCCAUUUGGAAGUAAGCUGGGAAAUUACUAUAAGAUAGAAAUCUAGACUUCUUGAACCUUGCCUAAGUGAACAGAGAUUCUGGAAAAGUUAGCUGCUCAGCAUAAGUUCCAGUAUAGCACAAACCAAAUAAUUUACAUACUUUUGUUUUAACAUCGUGUUAAGACUUCCCUGGUGGCUCAGAUAGUAAAAGUGUCUGCCUACAAUGCAGAAGACCCGGAUUUGAUCCCUGGGUCAGGAAGAUCCCCUGGAGAAGGAAAUGGCGACCCACUCCAGUACUCUUGCCUGGAAAAUCCCAUGGACAGAGGAGCCUGGUAGGCUACAGUCCAUGGGGUCGCAAAGAGUCAGAUACACUGAGCAACAUCACUUCUUCACUUCUCUUCUUAAGUUACUGUGUAUCAACUUGAUGACUUCAAUUAAAUACAUCUUCAGUGUCAUCUGUGUGGGAAAUUGCUUUGUUCUUUGACCUUGAAUAUGAUAUAGUCUCUGUUCGUAAUGAAAUUACAACCUGGUAGAGAAGACAAGACUAUUAAAUCACAGUACCAUUCUUAAGAGAAUUUUCUUCUUAAGGGAUGUAUUCUACAACUGUUACAAGGCAGGUUCUGAAUGUGAUGUUCAAGUUCAGAAGAUAGGAGAGGUCAUGUAAGGUGAAGAGCACAGCUUGAGACAGAAGGAGGGCUUCCCUUUUUCUUUCUGCCCCAGAGGGACCAGUGUCUGUCAGGGACCUGGACACUCUUCUCUCUCCCUGAUCUGCGAUUGUCGGGACCUUGUAAGGAAAGGAACAGGAUAGAGAAGCUUGUGAAGGUUAAGGAUGUGGCCCCUUCUCUGAAGUAAAGGGGAGCAGAACUAAAUUUGAUGAUGCAAAGCCUGUGCUAGGCACAUCUGCAGAUCUUCCUAAUCAGCUGCAGCAGUUCCGUGGUUGAGAGGGGCAGUGUCCUUUAGUGGAAAGAGUAUGGGAUCUUAAAACCUAGAACAGGUUUGGUAAAAGAGAGAAAGUGAAAGUCACACAGUUGUGUCCGACUCUUUGUGACCCUGUGGACUGUACGGUCCAUGGAAUUCUCCAGGCCAGAAUACUGGAGUGGGUAGCCUUUCCCUCCACCAGGGGAUCUUCCCAGCCCAGGGAUCGAACUGGGAUCUCCUGCAUCACAGGCGGAUUCUUUACAACUGCCCUAAAUUGAGAAGCAUUUGGUAAUGUUAGACCCAAAUCCGGCUUGUACACAGAUGUUCAAGUAAGUGGCUUUUUUCCUGGUGAGAUGACUACCCAGGACAUGUCAGCCUGUUCCUUCUUUUCAGCAUAUUAGAUGUGCCUUGGCUUUCACAAGGGCGUGGUUGCUGCUUAACCCAUUGAGAUAUUACAGUUAGAGCCCCGAGGGUUCAUGGUGAAGCUGCAGGGUGGAGAAAGGGGGAAGAGUGGUGUGGAAAGCACGCAAUAGUAGGAAAUUUUGACAGGAAAUACAAUCCAGGCUGAUUCAUUAGAUGAUGCACCAAAAGUUAGGGGUAAAGUAGUGAAAAGCCACAAAUACAGUUUCUGCCCUCAUGUCAUUGACAGUGAAAGUUUGGCAUUUUAGCAGUUGCUGUUUGCGAUAGAACCUAUGAAAGCUUUCUUAAAGUCUUCCAGAUUGGAUAGCUCCGUAUUGGGUUUCACUGAGCAUGAAAGUGGUGGGGAUUUUACAUUCUAUGUCUUCCAGUGGUUAUGUCUUUUUAAAGCUUGAAGGAACUCACAAAAAAGUAGUUAAGAUUGUAAAUCAUUCCAAAUGAGAUGUUGAUAUUAAAUUAGGCAUACUCUUCCACAUCCUCCAAGAAUACAAAUACAGACUGAAGCGUUUUUCAUAGGUGAUGUUUGUAAGUGUACAUAUUUUAAGAUUGGAAAUGUCUUUAUCUCUUUGUAUUAGUUUCCUGUGGCUUCUGUAAAAAAUCACCACAAGCUUAGUGAUUUAAAAGAACAGGUGUGUGCUUUCAUUGCUCUGGAAGUCAGAAGCCUUGGAAUCGGCAGCCCGGAGCCGAAGCUGCAGUGUCGGUGGUGCGGGGCGCCUCCUCCUGCCGCGCUCCUGGCGCUGCCGGCGCCCUCUGGCUUGUGGCCACAUCUCUCUGAGCUCUGCCUUCUCUCUGCUGGUGUCAGGUGUCUGCCUAGUGCUCGCAUAAGGACACUUGUGAAGGCAUGUAGGGCCCGCCCGAAUCGUCUCUUCAUUUCAGCAUCCGUAACUGAACCUUAGUCACAUCUGUAAAGACCUGUUUCUAAGUAUGAUCACAUCUGUAGCUUCCAGAGAUUAGGAUGUGGAUAUUUUUUUGGAGAGUGACCUUUUUUAGCUUAUGCUCUGAUAGAUUGCAGGCAGAUUUUUGGACAGAGGAGCAAAAAUUGUGUGAACAGAGGAGCCUCAAGAGUUGGAUAUGACUUAGCGAAUAAACCACCGCCACUGAUACAUUAUAUGGAAGAGUAGAGGCAUGUUGCUUUUGAAAUAGUAACUUUUAGAUAUUUGUAAGUAUAUUUCUAGUUAGAGUAGAAAUUCAUAGUGUAUUAUGCAUCUUUUCAACGUUAGCUUGAUUUUCAAAUUUGGGAUUCAAAUUAGGCAUUGCCCCAAAUUUUAGUACUUCACAUGUCAUUUAUAAUAAUGGUUUUUGAGCUACUAGUCUCUAAAGAGUGGAGGUUAUGGGUCUGGCUCAAUCCGACAGUGAUAAUUUUUAUUAGGAUUUGUUAAA
ensembl:lncRNA